AUGGGAACCGUUUCCUCGCACAAUUUAGAAAGCCUUUCUCUUGAAGAUUCAUUUUCUAUAUUUUUCAAAUGGGCCUUUAAAGAAGGAGAAGCAAGGAGGUAUCCUCAUUUGGUAAAUAUUGGAAGGGAAAUUGUGAAAAAAUGUGGUGGGAUUCCCUUGGCAGUGAGAACAGUAGGGAGUUUACUUUUUUCAAAAUGUGAAACAAUUCAGUAUUGGGGAAACAUGAAAGACAACGAAAUUUGA